UACGUAGGGAGCGAGCGUUGUCCGGAUUCAUUGGGCGUAAAGAGCUCGUAGGCGGUUCGGUAAGUCGGGUGUGAAAUCUCCGUGCUCAACACGGAGCGGCCACCUGAUACUGCCGUGACUCGAGUCCGGUAGGGGAGUGUGGAAUUCCCGGUGUAGCGGUGAAAUGCGCAGAUAUCGGAAAGAACACCAACGGCGAAGGCACUCUGCUGGGCCGACACUGACACUGAGAGACGAAAGCUAGGGGAGCAAAUGGG
rnacentral:rRNA from 1 species